UAUGAAUAUGUAUAUUCGAAUGGUAUGAAAUGGAAGAAGGGACUACGUAAAAGAAUAAAUUUAGUGUAUAUUUCAGUUAACAAUAAAACAAAAGAGUAUUGAUAGUUUAUAAUGUGUUAGAACGAGAAAUAUACAACGAAAAAAAAAUAGAAAAAUAUAUAUAUUUCUACACGAAUGUAUCCAAUGACAUAACCUAAAAUUUUUGAAUUGUUGAAAGAGGAAAAGCGAAAAUAUUCUUAACGGAUAUGAUUUCUCUAGAUAAAUCGAGGAGAAAGGGGGAAAUAAGGAAGAGAGACGGAUUAAUAGGAGAAUCAUAGGAGCAAUGACGUUAUCCUGGGAUAACGGGUGACCAGGUGCAUCGGGCACAUCGCCACCUAGGAAGUGGGUACGAGGUCUGACGGUUGCCUCGUCAUCUUGACCAUUCUGCAGGAUACGGUAUAAUAUCGUACCAUGGAAAUAUCGUGGAUAAUCAGCUUUUAACACGUUGAACACUGCACCGAGAAUCAAGGAUCUUGCUACAAAUCCAUUUGUGAUUUCUGUUUUAGAAGAAUGAAGGAUUCUGUACAAAAUCAUUGCUUUAAGUUAAUAAUUAUAGAAUUGAUGAACCUAUUUCAUUUGAGGAAUUAUCCUUAAUUUGCACUACAAAGGUCAAAAAAAUAAAUACUAAAAUACAUUUUUUUUUUAUUUCAUAUAAUAACUUUCCAAGAAUAUGAUAUUUUGAAAAUGACCAAUGAUAUACAUAAUGAUAUACACAAAUCAGAAAGAGAUACGUGUCAUAUUUAAUAAAUAGAUAUAUUAUAAUAUUUAAAGGUAAUAAGUAUUAAUUAAGACACGGAAGUAAUAAUUUUAUACACUUUUCAAUUGGCCAAAAAUUAAAACGUGAAAUUAACAUCUCUUAUGAUCACUUACGAUCAUAUUAAUUCAACGUCAAAUUGGUAUAAAAUUUGCGAAAUGUGCGUGCAUAGAUAAAUAGCGUAUAACGUAAGAAGCGUGCCAGGUCGAGGGUAAUUUAAAGUUCGUAUAAGUAACAUAAUUGCAGGCAAGGU